GCCCAUAAUAACGCACAAAUAUACACUAUAGAAAAACAAAGCAUUUGACUAGCCUAGUAGAUGAGAUCGAACAGUAAAUACAAUUAGUACCGCAAGGGAAAUAAAUUAAGCAAUGAACAGCAAAGAUUAACCCUUGUA
rnacentral:rRNA from 1 species